AGUAUUAGAAAUGGGCAUAUCAGUCUUUCACAUUUACACAUUAGUAAAAAUAGAAAAACUACAUCGUCUCCCUCGCUCCCGAGCCCUCUCUCCUCCCUAAUUUCACAGAGUCCCUCUUGAGAGAGCGCCGCCGGCCUGCCAACCCCUCUCUCCGCCGCGGCCCUCGACCAGCGCGUGCCGCCGCCCUACACCCAGCCCGCGGCGCCGCUUACCUCGCCUAGCGCCAGCGUGCGCCGCCGCCGCCCUCCACCAGCGCCGUCCUCGCCCUCCUGCAGCGCGCCGCCGCCGCCCUCCACCAAGCCAGCGCCGCCGCAUGCCGCCCUCCUCACAGCGCGCUGCCGCACUCCACAUUAACUAGCAGGGGAGCAAAUGUUCUAGCACAAACAUUAGUACAUUACUAGUUUACUACACAUGGAGCUUCUGAUUUGACCGGAUCAUUUAGGUGUGUCUCAUUUUACCUGAAUCAAGAUCCUUACUGUUAUUUUUUUUUAGAAGAUUAGGGGCCACAGCCCCCCGGUCCCAAAUUUCAUUGAAACCGGCCACAGCGUUUGAAACACAGUUUAGACAAAACAUCCCGCGAUCAUUACUGUUAUUUGACGCAGCUGAUUUCCUAGGCUGUAUAAGCGAAGUGUUUUGGAAGAUUUGAUCUCCUCGUGCGUCAGCAAGGGCUAUGUAUUCCAAAUGGAGAUGAUUGUUAGGGCUACUAGAUCACAUUGAAGAGGUCCCAGUAACUUUUGUGGACAGGGUCUUUGGAAUUUCAAAGCUUGGUGGAUCUGAAAUAGUUGGAUAUUUGAAAGGCCUCGUGUAUCUGCUGCGGACGAAUUAGUGGAAAAAUUCCUGCCAAAAGGAGAUAUGGGAAAGAUAGAGUAGAUGAUGCAUGACUGUUAUAGGACAACUCUUGUUAAGAGGGAAUUUUUGUCUGUUAUUGCAGCUUGAGUUGCGUAACAUUGCUAAUGCUUUUGGACCUAUUAUUGAAUCUGCACACAAGUUAUUGUUUAUGACUAUCCUUCUGAAUUUUGUGGCU